CUUAGUACGGCGAGUGAAGCGGGAAGAGCUCAAAUUUGAAAUCUGGCAGUCUUCGAUUGUCCGAGUUGUAAUCUAUAGAGGCGUUUUCCGUGCCGGACCGUGUCCAAGUCUCCUGGAAAGGAGUAUCAAAGAGGGUGAUAAUCCCGUACUUAACACGACCACCGGUGCUCUGUGAUACGUCUUCUACGAGUCGAGUUGUUUGGGAAUGCAGCUCAAAAUGGGUGGUGAAUUCCAUCUAAAGCUAAAUAUUGGCGAGAGACCGAUAGCGAACAAGUACCGUGAGGGAAAGAUGAAAAGCACUUUGGAAAGAGAGUUAAACAGUACGUGAAAUUGUUGAAAGGGAAACGAUUGAAGUCAGUCGUGUUCUUUGGAUUCAGCCAGUUCUGCUGGUCUACUUCCUUGGAACGGGUCAACAUCAGUUUUGUCCGGUGGAUAAAGGUAGUAGGAAUGUGACUUCUCCGGAAGUGUUAUAGCCUAUUAUCACAUACACUGGGUGAGACUGAGGACUGCAGCUCGCCUUUAUGGCCGGCCUUCGGGCACGUUCGAGCUUAGGAUGUUGACAUAAUGGCUUUAAACGACCGGAA
rnacentral:rRNA from 1 species